rnacentral:tRNA from 1 species
AAGGAUGGGUCUUCAGACGCUUGCUGCUUGCAGUAAGUUUGCUAUCGACCUGUUUUAGAAACAUCAGUGGCCAGCGAUUGGAUCAAUCGUUGAGCUGCAUUGGCGGGAUUUCGCCGUCUUCGUUUCUCUUUCUUCGCGGACGAACACGCGCCAGGCGUGGAUUGUCUUGAUGCGGUUUGCGGGCCUUGCUUGCGAACCCUGCAUCGACAGCCACGCUUUGAGCCCGAGCUCUCGUCGUUAGGGCUUGUAGCUCAGUUGGUUAGAGCGCGCGCUUGAUAAGCGUGAGGUCGGAAGUUCAAGUCUUCCCAGGCCCACCACGCUUCGCCUUCGGCUACGCGUGGCGCAGCCACGCAAGGCGAAGCGAAGCGUGCCCGGCGAAGCUCCACUUGGAGUGAAGACGGGCAGCUAAAGCAGGCCACGUUUGAUACUGACCAACGCUUCCGAUGAUCGCGUUUGCAGCUUCGUCUCUUCUGGUUUGGGGCCAUAGCUCAGCUGGGAGAGCGCGUGCUUUGCAAGCAUGAGGUCGUCGGUUCGAUCCCGUCUGGCUCCACCACGCUUCGCACGGCGAAGCCGGGCGAAGCGUGCCCGGCGAAGCUCCCCUUGGAGCGAAGACGGGCAGCGGCCAACGGUCGAGACCGAGAGCUUAAGCGAGCUAACGCAUAGCGUGUUCAACGAUCCUGGAAUGACCAGGGUCCAUCCGCGACAAUAACUUCGCUUGUUUGUGUCUUACGAGAUGCGAACUGCGGGAUAUCUGACAUCGUAUAGAGGAGAUCGAUCCAGGUUUUGGAUCUUGUGGAGCAAUCCACGGGGUUCGAAAUGCUAUCUCCAGGAUUUUGCAGUCGUGACCGUCGCAAGACGGCUUACGGAUGCUCAAUCUUUGUUGGUGACGCUUGACCGCCUCACCACUGGUUCGAUCUUACGAAGCAAGCUGGUCUUUCUAAUCAUGUCCAGCCGCGUUUGGCUCCUAUCGAGGGGGCAGGUUGGUAGCUUUCGAGCUAGCAACACGGAUGCGGUUACAUUCUGCCGAGUGUGUGGACAUUGAUAAUGAGAGCAAUCAA